UGGGGAAUUUUGGACAAUGGGCGAAAGCCUGAUCCAGCAAUGCCGCGUGUGUGAAGAAGGCCUUCGGGUUGUAAAGCACUUUUGUCCGGAAAGAAAUCCUUGGCUCUAAUACAGUCGGGGGAUGACGGUACCGGAAGAAUAAGCACCGGCUAACUACGUGCCAGCAGCCGCGGUAAUACGUAGGGUGCAAGCGUUAAUCGGAAUUACUGGGCGUAAAGCGUGCGCAGGCGGUUUGCUAAGACCGAUGUGAAAUCCCCGGGCUCAACCUGGGAACUGCAUUGGUGACUGGCAGGCUAGAGUAUGGCAGAGGGGGUAGAAUUCCACGUGUAGCAGUGAAAUGCGUAGAGAUGUGGAGGAAUACCGAUGGCGAAGGCAGCCCCUGGCAAGU
rnacentral:rRNA from 1 species